AUUGAACGCUGGCGGCAGGCCUAACACAUGCAAGUCGAGCGAGCGGCGGACGGGUGAGUAAUGUCUGGGAAACUGCCCUCAGGAGGGGGGUAACUACUGGAAAAGGUAGCUAAUACCGCAUACUAUCAGAUGUGCCCAGAUGGGAUUAGCUAGUAGGUGGGGUAACGUCUCACCAAGGCGCCGAUCCCUAGCUGGGUUGAGAGGCUGACCAGCCACACUGGAACUGAGACACGGUCCAGACUCCUCCGGGAGGCAGCAGUGGGGAAUAUUGCACAAUGGGCGCAAGCCUGAUGCAGCCAUGCCGCGUGUGUGAAGAAGGCCUUCGGGUUGUAAAGCACUUUCAGCGGGGAGGCGUUACCCGCAGAAGAAGCACCGGCUAACUCCGUGCCAGCAGCCGCGGUAAUAC
rnacentral:rRNA from 1 species